rnacentral:lncRNA from 1 species
GAUGAUUAGUGAUGAAUGAGAGAGAAAAUGUUAGAAAAAUUUAUGAUCAUAUGUGUCAUACAUUAUAUAUAUGAUGAUUAUUAAGGGAUGAUGGAAAAAAUGUUAAAAAAAAAAAUGGGGUUCGUCAAACCAUCACCUAAUUAAUAAUUUAGAGACAAAAAAUGAAGUUCCGCGACAAACCAUCUUGCCUUAAAUUUCGCCAUGGUUAAGAGAGUUCAUAGCUGUCUAAAAUUUAAUGAUCGGUCUUCAAGUUCGCCAUGGUUAAGAGAGAAUAUAACUGUCUAAAACUUAAAGAAAUGAAUUGGAUUUAUCUUUCUAAAAUUUAAUAAAAUGAAUUAGAUGUUUAUGCCAUAUAUUAUAUAGAAUGAUUAUUAAGGGAUGAGGGACAAAAUAUUAGAAAAAAUGAAGUUAUUCAAACGAUCACCCAUUGAAGAAUUUUAAAAUAUUGGAAGGAAAAAAUGGUAAAGAUAAUGGC